CUUUUUGCGAGCGGGGGUGGCCUUGGACUGCGAUCCUCCCCAUCUCUUACCUCCACAGUAGCUGGAAUUACAAACGUAAACCACCGCGCCUGGCUAUUCCAGCGUCCUUCUAUCUAUCUAUCUAUCUAUCUAUCUAUCAUCUAUUAUCAAUCAUCUAUCUAUUAUCUAUCGUCUAUCUCAUCAUCCUUCUUGGACCUACAGUACUGUAAUUCCACAAUAAGCGAAAUUCUUCCCCACCCUGCUAACUUAACUCCAACCUUCUGUCCAUUUUCUCAAGACGAUCAGGUGUCCUGGAAAAGUCCCAGAAAAGUGGGUUUUCCUUCUCCCUUGGUCAUAAAAUCUUACAGGCUUCUACCCUGGUGCCCGCGACAGCCAACUUCCACAGCGCCCGGGUCUCUCGCGAGACCAGCGACACGGGCUCGCGGUAGUCUCGCGAGAGCGGAGGCUCCAGGAAGUGGGCGAGAGGAGCGGCCCGCCCACCUGAGCAAGUGCGCGCGCGGCCCGGCGGGGUCAGUCUUCUUGGGGACCUGGCUGGACGGACUCUCGGGGACGCGCGCUGCCUGCCACGCCCACACGGCCUCGCGAGUCCCCAGCCGCAGCCCCUCCCUUUGCCCUUCAGGGCGCCCUGCGCUCCGCGGGCGGUGGCUCGGGUCCCCCGCCCGGGCAGCCGGCCUGGCCUUCCCCUUUUGCUCUCUGUCCCCGCUGGAGCGCCGACGCCGCGCGGCCCUGCAGUGUCCCAGACGUGGCACGUCCAGCUUGCUCGCCGGGUAAUGCGUUCGACUCUGGAGUUCUUUUAAUUCUUCUGAAGGAGUUCAAAUCUUGCAGAAGCCAAAAUGGGACACAGUAAACAGAUUCGAAUUUUACUUCUGAACGAAAUGGACAAGCUGGAAAAGACCCUGUUCAGACUUGAACAAGGUUAGUUGCAAAUUGUUUAAUUAGCUCGUUUGUGUCUUAGAAUUUUUUAACUCAUCGAUGGUCUGUUAAAAACUUAAAAUUAGGCACUAGGGUGAUUGGGUAUGCUUAGUAUGAGUGAGUCCCUGGGUUCAAUUUCAAGCAUAAAAAAAAAAAAAAACCUUUAUGUUAGAGAAAAGUUGCUAGGAUCUUUUUAAAACUUGAUUUGUGCAAAGACAGUGCUGCGUUCCACAAGUAUCACUAUAAAGUCUGGUUGUAGUUAGAAAUAUUUUAUAUCUGUCAUGUUAAAACAAGGAUAAAAUAUAGUUCACUUUUUCUUUGCCUGCUAACUCCCACCUAAGACAAAGCCAGCUUGGGCAAAUAGUUUUAGAGAACCUAUCUCGAAAAACCCUAUCACAAAAAACUGGGCUGGUGGAGUGGCUCAAGGUAAAGGCCCUGAGUUCAAAUCCCAAAAGAGUUCAGCAAAAAGUAUGGUAAGUUUUAGUUUAUGUUUCAUCAAAAGCUUCUCAAAUAAGUAAAAGCUCAAAGUAUUUUCUUGCCAAAUAUAAAGUGAAAUCACUGAUCAGGUUAUGUCAAAAUGUAUUUGAGAUGUGAUUUAAAACAUCAAAUUAGGCUGGGGUCAGCUUGCCUAGCAUGUGCAAGACCCUGUGUACAAUCCCUAGCACUACAAAUAAAACAAAAUAAAAGAUCA
ensembl:lncRNA